AGUGUUGCUACUCUAACCUUCUUUUGUCAUCGGCCAACUGUCCUUGCAAUCAUGGAAUUUAUGGAUGCUAUCAAUCUUGCAAAUGACCCUGAUAGCGAUAAAGAUAGAAACACAGAUGAUAUUAAGUUUGAUAAUGUGGUUGAGGAGCCUAAAUCUGAUCUGGAGUCAGAACCUGUCAUAAAAAGGUUGAUGUCUAAAGGUAAAAGCAGAGUAGUUUUUCAUCUUACGUCAAGCAUGGCAGAGGCACAAGUAUUACUAAUGAAUGAAAAUGGUGAUCUACUUGCUACUUUGUCACAAAAUAACCUCUCAACUGAUAUCAAGGUAUGA
rnacentral:rRNA from 1 species